UGAAAGGUUUUAGGUGUGCCUUAUAGUGUGGAAAAUACGGUAAUAUUGAAACUUAAGAAUGAGGAAGAACAGGAUAAAAUCAGCCCCAUUGUGGUGACAAGUGAAAUUAAAAAUAAAAUUGGAGAUGUUGAAAUGGUAAAGAUUUUGAGAGACGGAAACCUAUUGGUAGUAUGUAAAGAUAUAGAACAAAAGAAUAAGGCUUUAAAUGUGGAAAAUAUUUGCAAAAGAACUGUGCUGGAGAAAAAAAUCAUGGGAGAAAAUAAAAAAAUUAGAGGAGUGAUUUAUGGGAUCCCUCUAGAUGAAGAUCUUGAUAAAAUUAAGAGAAGUGUUGUAGGUGCAAAGUGAAUAACUUGAAAAGAUUGUCAAAAACAGUGGAUGGAGAAAGAGUAGGAAGUUUGUCAAUUCUUACUGAGUUUAAAGAAAAAGAGUUACCAAAAAAUAUAAAAAUAGGGUAUCUCAGUUUUCAAGUUAGACCUUAUGUACUGUCGUGAAAACUGGUACAAGAAUGUGAGAUCUGUCCAGGUACACGCAGAAAACGGAAUAAAGGCCUAAGAAAUAACAGCAAAUCUUGUAUAUUGAUUUAAUGAUGAUUAAAAGAAACAAGUAUAAAACAUAAUGCUCAUGUGAAAGUAAGAAUGUCUGUAAUGUAUAAUCAAAAUAUAUGUUCUGUAUUUUUGAUUAGUUGAAUGUCUGUAAUGUAUAAUCAAAAUAUAUGUUCUGUAUUUCUGAUCAGUUGAACAUUAUAAUGUAAUUAUGGAAAUUUAAGUUUGUACCUUUUGAGUUAACAAUAACAGCUUGAUUGUUGUAUAAUGUGAUGAUGAGUGAGGAAGAGACAUACUGAAGUAAUAAGUUGAUAAAGUAACACAGUGAUUAUGCUUUGUGAUGAAUUACAAAGACAAAAUGAAGAAGGAUUUAAGAUUGCGAGAAACAGAAUAAACUGUGUUGUAAGGAGUACACUGAGCAGGGUGGGGGAACAGAUGGCCAGAAACAGAUGGCCAGUGGAAAAAGGGAAGUACCGGAGAAUUGCUGUAAUGAGGCAUAAGUGAGUCAUAAAGGAGGUGAUGGUUGGGGAAGGUUGGGACUUUCCACAGACAGUGGGGCGGUUCUAAAGUCACGUAGCCCUGCCCCGUAAACAGCCCUGGGUUGAGAGGGUAUAAAACCCAGAGGAUAGGGGAGGAAAGAGGUUCUUUGUCCGCGGCGCAGAAGAGGAGCCAACAGAGGACCGCACCCCGGGACCAAGGGAAGCUCAAGACUUCACGCCACCAAGAAGGGACGAGUUCCACCAGCCCCGACCCUGGGUUCCUGAUCCGACCAACUCCUCUGCCUUUUACCCAAUGUUCUCCACUCAACUGCAGCCGACUUGGAGAAGAGACGGAGGUCAUUUAAUGACAAAGACUCUGCACGUUAGAAGGAUAACGGACAGUUCUGCUCUGCUUCUCUUCUGAAAGAGAACUUUACUCCGCCGGGGCAAAGACUUUGGCCAAGGAUAUUUGAAGAUUUCAGCUGCCGAGAUCAAGUGCCAUCGGGACUCCCUCCUUUGAAAGAUGAAGGAGCUGCUGUAAUCCCAACUCCCCCAUAGGGGUUGGCUUAACCGCAGGCACCCCCUGCGACUUUACCACGGUUCGAUCCUAUGUCGCCAGAGCUCAGUGACUCCAGUGAUAAUGCCAGACUCGAGGUUUGGCUGGCUCGCCUACAGUUGGAGGCACAGGAGAGGGAGUUGGUGGUGCCAGAUAAAAACAAGUUUGAUGUUAGCAAGAAUAUUGCUUUGGUGCCUAGCCAGAGGUUGCAGACCCCUGUUGGAUGGGAGCAGCUAAAUUUAGUCUGAUUUUUACACUACAAAUAAAUCUCCAGAUCUGUGGAUUACACAAAACAUGUUUUGGACAAAAUCAUUCUUAGAAAAUAAGAUUUUAAUAUGCUCAGUUUUGCCUAU